GUGCUGCAUUUCUGGAGGAGGUGCUAAGCAGACGUCCUGGCCCGUCCCACCUUGCUGCUGCCACAAGGAGGGAGGAGUUCAGUGUGGGCUGGUUCUCGAAGGUCCCCACCCUCGGAACUAUCUUCCAGAGUCCCGGAGCUGUGCGGGGGCCCCGGAUCCUCUGGCUAACCGUCCGGAUAACCAACAGGACAGACAGUCUCUUUCUUCAUUCUCUAAUGCUCUGCCUUGAACCAGUUCCUGUGAUGGUGCUGGGCUAUAAAAAUAAAUUUACCCACCUUCUGUGAUGGCUUGAAUAUGCUCGGCCCAGGAAGUGGCACUAUUAGAAGAUAUGGCCUUGUUGGAGUAGGUGUAUCACUGUACAAGUGGGCUUUAAGACUCUCAUCUGCCUAGAAGUCAGUCUUCUACUAGCAGCCUUCAGAUGAAGAUGUAGAACUCUCAGCUCCUCCUGCACCAUGCCUACCUGGAUGCUGCCAUGCUUCUGCCUUGAAGAUAAUGGACUGAACCUCUGAACCUUGUGGGCAAGAAUGCUUGUGCAUAGGCGUGUGUGUUCCACACUGUGCACAUGAAGGUCGGAGGACAAUGUUCAGGUGCCAGUUGACUCUCUCCUUCUGCUACGUGGAUCCUGGGAGGGAACUACAUCAUCACACUUGUCCAGUAAGCACUUCUAUCUACUGAGCUGUUUCUCCUGCCCUCUGUUAUGUUCUUUUGUUCAUUUGUUUGUUUGUUUGGUUGUUUUGUAUUGUUUUAGUUUGUUGAGACAGGGUUUCUCUGUAUAGCCCUGGCUGUCCUGGAAUUCACUCUGUUGUCUAGGCUGGCCUUGAACUCAGAAAUCUACCUGCCUCUGCCUCCCAAGAGCUGGGAUUAAAUGCGUGCACCACCACUGCCUGGCCUGUUAUGUUCCUAAUACGCAGAACAGAAAAACGAUCUGCAGACAAGCUUGCUGGCUGGGGAGAGAUGCAAAGAACAGUGUGAGAAAGUCCCAUGGGCCUGAAAUUGUGUGGAUAAAGACUCUUAAUUUCUUAUGAUGGCUAUUUCCUUUGUUGGGAGUGUAAGACACAUUCAGUCCUUUAAUGAUACUUAGAAGAAGGCAGCACCUGCCCUCAAGACACACAGACACUACUUAUUAACUGAAGCCAAUCAGUGUCCCAGAAGCCACACAAGGUGGAUAUGCUUGUCACCCACACGGUGCCGACGAGGAGGCUGAGGCACAGAGCCUGAGUAGCAUAAGCGGUCUCUCUGUUUCCAGAGUGUGUUACUGUCCCUAGAGACUGGCCCACCUCUCUGGGUCUCAGCAUUUCUUAUCAGUGUAAUAGCUCUCAUACGACAUCAAAGGACUGAUUUCAGGAUUUAAAGUGACAGUGUUUAUCGAGUAUCUUGCCCAGUGACUGCUAUUAAUAUGAUCUGAGGUUAUUAUCAGCAAUACUGCCAUUUUCAGGCUGCCGAGAAGGGGGUCACUUCGGGGCAGAGCCCUGGAAAGACCGUUUCUCGGCCAGGAGGUGAGGAAGCAGAGGAUGAAGGAGAGCUCAUUGUUUUAAUAAACUCACACUCGGUCUC
rnacentral:lncRNA from 1 species